rnacentral:rRNA from 1 species
GACGUAGGGCGCGAGCGUUGUCCGGAUUUAUUGGGCGUAAAGAGCUCGUAGGCGGCUCGUUGCGUCGGCUGUGAAAACCCGCAGCUCAACUGUGGGCUUGCAGCUGAUACGGGCGGGCUGGAGUUCGGUAGGGAGACUGGAAUUCCUGGUGUAGCGGUGAAAUGCGCAGAUAUCAGGAGGAACACCGGUGGCGAAGGCGGGUCUCUGGGCCGAUACUGACGCUGAGGAGCGAAAGCGUGGGGAGCGAACAGG